CCCUUUGUAUAAAUUGUUGCACUAACGGCCAGAACAAAUUCCCUUUUUGUUAUGAGACUUGGCAAUAAAACUGUUUCUGAUUCUGAAAGAACAGGCAAACAUUACUCCCAGUGGAUGUAGCCUUACAGAGAAGAAACUACUACAUUAAAUAAUUUCAGCCAAAGAGGGCAACAACAGCUAUUGCAGCUUGGGGUGUGUUUAUUUUUUAUGUACAAUGAAAAUGCAUUUCUGUUAAUAUUUGAUGAACAAAUGAAUACAAAUUAUAAUUUGAGUGUAAUUUGUGACUGUAUACUCACCUAAAGGAUUAUUAGGAACACCAUACUAAUACUGUGUUUGACCCCCUUUCGCCUUCAGAACUGCCUUAAUUCUACGUGGCAUUGAUUCAACAAGGUGCUGAAAGCAUUCUUCAGAAAUGUUGGCCCAUAUUGUUAGGAUAGCAUCUUGCAGUUGAUGGAGAUUUGUGGGAUGCACAUCCAGGGAACGAAGCUCCUGUUCCACCACAUCCCAAAGAUGCUCUAUUGGGUUGAGAUCUGGUGACUGUGGGGGCCAUUUCAGUACAGUGAACUCAAUGUCAUGUUCAAGAAACCAAUUUGAAAUGAUUCGAGCUUUGUGACAUGGUGCAUUAUCCUGCUGGAAGUAGCCAUCAGAGGAUGGGUACAUGGUGGUCAUAAGGGGAUGGACAUGGUCAGAAACAAUGCUCAGGUAGGCCGUGGCAUUUAAACGAUGCCCAAUUGGCACUAAGGGGCCUAAAGUGUGCCAAGAAAACAGCCCCUACACCAUUACACCACUACCACCAGCCUGCACAGUGGUAACAAGGCAUGAUGGAUUCAUGUUCUCAUUCUGUUUACGCCAAAUUCUGACUCUACCAUCUGAAUGUCUCAACAGAAAUCGAGACUCAUCAGACCAGGCAACAUUCUUCCAGUCUUCAACUGUCCAAUUUUGGUGAGCUCGUGCAAAUUGUAGCCUCUUUUCCUGUUUUUAGUGGAGAUGAGUGGUACCCGGUGGGGUCUUUUGCUGUUGUAGCCCAUCCGCCUCAAGGUUGUGCGUGUUGUGGCUUCACAAAUGCUUUGCUGCAUACCUCGGUUGUAACGAGUGGUUAUUUCAGUCAAAGUUGCUCUUCUAUCAGUUUGAAUCAGUCGGCCCAUUCUCCUCUGACCUCUAGCAUCAACAAGGUAUUUUCACCCACAGGACUGCCGCAUAAUGGAUGUUUUUCCCUUUUCACACCAUUCUUUGUAAACCCUAGAAAUGGUUGUGCGUGAAAAUCCCAGUAACUGAGCAGAUUUUGAAAUACUCAGACCGUCUGGCACCAACAACCAUGCCACGCUCAAAAUUGCUUAAAUCACCUUUCUUUCCCAUUCUGACAUUCAGUUUGGAGUUCAGGAGAUUGUCUUGACCAGGACCACACCCCCAAAUGCAUUGAAGCAACUGCCAUGUGAUUGGUUGAUUAGAUAAUUGCAUUAAUGAGAAAUUUAACAGGUGUUCCUAAUAAUCCUUUAGGUGAGUGUAUUUCCAUAUGCCCAAAAACAUAAAAAACUAACUGUUACUCUAGUUUUCUUCCCAAAAACAAUUGCUUCGAAUUCUUCCGCUUCAUAAAAUAGAACAAGCAUGUCUCGCUGACAAAAUUUUUGAAGAGGUCUGAAGAACACAACUAGGUAUUCUGCAUCAAAGACUGCCUGGACUGAUAUCUUCAGACUACAAAGAAUCCUAGGUUACAUGAGAACUGAAGACGGAGAGCACUUAGGGUCCAAGGUUCUAGUUGUUUAGAAACAGUGUUCCUCAGUGUACUCAUCUUGCUUGCGACACAAAACAGUCAGAAGGUGGCCAGAAUGGUAGAAACCGCUGAAGUGCACAAAAUAAUGGAACACAAAAACAGACAAUGCACCAGACCCAGAGUAAUGUAAUGUGUACUGGGCAGCGAACCGCAAAUUGUAUACCAACCCUAGGCUGUGCAAGUCAUCAGGUUCAUCUUUACCACUCAAAAAUGAAUGAAGCUUGCUCAUAGCACCAAGAGGGGCAGGCAAUGUACACUAAGUGCAGUCUUAUAUGUCACUCUGUAGGUUUUGAUUUGUGAUUCUAGACCGACCUAUUUACAAAACACAGCACAAAAUCAGCAGAUCAAACUAUAAGAAAAUGAUCAACACAGCAUUGACGACUCGUUUCUAUUUACACAGAAAUAAAUGAGGCUAUUAGAAUAACAGAAAAGCCAAAUUAUUUCACAGGGG
ensembl:lncRNA